GAAGCUGACCGGUCUGUCGCUGCCCCAUCGGGUCAGAGGAAAGUCCGGGCAACACAGAGCAUUCCACUUCCUAACGGGAAGCAGCCGGCAACGGCUGAGCAGUGCAGAAGAAAACAACCGCCGUCCGGUACGGUAAGGGUGAGAAGGCGGGGUAAGAGCCCACCAGGCCUAUGGUGACACAGGUGCUGUGUGCCUUGGAAGUUGCAAGUUCAUGUAAACCGGCGUCAGAGGGCUGCUCGCCCGAGCCGGAGGGUAGAACGCGCGUGACCAACGUCACGGAGCCUGCCGGUGACGGCGGGUCAAGAUUAAUGACAGACGGUGAGAUCCUGCAUCUCAUUACAGAACCCGGCUUACAGGUCAGCUUUUUUU
rnacentral:RNase_P_RNA from 1 species